rnacentral:rRNA from 1 species
AACGAACGCUGGCGGCAUGCCUAACACAUGCAAGUCGAACGAGACCUUCGGGUCUAGUGGCGCACGGGUGCGUAACGCGUGGGAACCUGCCCUUAGGUUCGGAAUAACUCCCCGAAAGGGGUGCUAAUACCGGAUAAUGUCUUCGGACCAAAGAUUUAUCGCCUUUGGAUGGGCCUGCGUUGGAUUAGCUAGUUGGUAGGGUAAAAGCCUACCAAGGCGACGAUCCAUAGCUGGUCUGAGAGGAUGAUCAGCCACACUGGGACUGAGACACAGCCCAAACUCGUACGGGAGGCAGCAGUGGAGAAUAUUGGACAAUGGGCGAAAGCCUGAUCCAGCAAUGCCGCGUGAGUAAUAAAGGCCUUAGGGUUGUAAAGCUCUUUUACCCGGGAUGAUAAUGACAGUACCGGGAGAAUAAGCACCGGCUAACUCCGUG